rnacentral:lncRNA from 1 species
AGCUGCAGGAAUGUGCAGAAUAAUGCGCAAUACCCGCGCCGAAAUUCAGGCCCAGCUUAAAGGGGAGCGGUUAUGGCCAGGGGAGCGGCCAGGGGAGCGGUUAUGGCCAGGGGAGCGGCCAUGGCGAGGGAAGCGGUCAUGGUCAGGGAAGUGGAAGUGGUCACGGAAGCGGACAGGGGAGUGGUUAUGGCCAGGGGAGCGGCCAGGGGAGCGGUUAUGGCCAGGGGAGCGGCCAUGGCGAGGGGAGCGGUCAUGGUCAGGGAAGUGGAAGUGGUCACGGAAGCGGCCAGGGGAGCGGUUACGGCCAGGGGAGCGGCCAGGGGAGCGGGUAUGGCCAGGGAAGCGGAAGCGGCCAGGGGAGCGGGUAUGGCCAGGGAAGCGGAAGCGGCCAGGGGAGCGGUCAGGGAAGCGGUCAUGGUCAGGGGAGCGGAUAUGGUCAGGGGAGCGGUCAGGGGAGCGGCUGUGGUGAAGGAAGUGGUCAGGGAUGUGGUCAUUGAAACGAUCAUGGGAAUUUUGCAUAACACCUACUGGAGAGCUUUUCAAUUCAGUGCUUUAAUCAUAUGGCAUGUUUUCCCUGUCCGCCCCCCCUCAAAUAAAAAGAAAAUUGCUUGAUUGAAGAAUUGGUGUUUGUGUCAUUUGGCCGUUUUCUCACAACUGCUUUCUGGCAUCAGUGCUUUAAGUUCCUCUCCCUGAGACCUGGGCCCUCAUGUAUAAAACUUUUCCGUAGAUUUCAUCCUAAAUGUGUGCAUACGUACAAGUUUUCAAAUUUAUAAAGCCAUGCGUACGUCACAACCUGCGCAAAGUUCCCUUUGUAAUACCCAGUCAGCGGAAGAUUGUGAGUACAUGAAUCUCCCCC